GCAGACACAUUCCAGCCAAUCAGCAGCAGACCCUCCCUCCCAGACCCUCCCACCUCCUGGACAGCUCACUAAGAAUGCAGCUUCAAAAUGGAUGCUGUCCAGGAGGUGGGAGGGUCUGGGAGGGAGGGUCUGCUGCUGAUUGGCUGGAAUGUGUCUG